AAAGCUAGGUAUUCAAUGAGUUCUGGUUGAGCUGAAUUGAACCCUGGCGUCAGGGAGAUAAUAGCCUCCUGAGGAAUGCAAAGUGCUAUACAGGACAUUUCGGAGCAUGGACCUAAACCGGGUGUGGAACACAAUGUCCCAGGGAUAGCCAUCUUCAGAGAUACGGCCCAUGACCCAGGAACCAUGUCUGGUGCUGAUAAAUACCUGGUUAAAAAAUCUACCUGCGGGGAAAAAAACCUCAGUGGAGUCUGUUUGUGAACCUCGAGUGAACAACAACAAAAAAUACAUCUUUGGUUAAGACAGGAAUGACCACCUUUUUAUAUCACCCUCUCAGGAAAAGCUAUAAUGUUUCUAAUGAUCAGCUGUUAGUAAGCAAUGAAUGUAAUUCAAGCUGUUUUUCCAGUUUCCUCUCUGCAAGUUACCUGUCCUAUAUAAGGAUCAACAUCUCCAUCAUUAGCUCUGAUUGUGUUUGUAUAGUUGAAUGAAUAGAUUUUUAUUUGGCUUAUAGGCAGAGCUCUUUGGAUGGUCUCUGCUGAUGUCAGAAUCUGCUUUUAGCAUAUUCAAACCUUUUGCUUUUGUCUAGAGUGUUCUCACCUGUUCUAUCCCUCACUUAGAUGUACCUGAUACACAAUCCUAAAGUUAUUGCUCUGGAGUUCUGAGCUGGAACUUCUGUGUAAACUUUCUGAGCAAAAAUGCAAGUUGGGCAUGGUUAUAAGUAGGGGGUUAGCUGUUUAGAAGUCAUAGAGACCUGGAUUUGAAUGCCAAUUCCUCUAGCUGUGUGACCAUGAUCAAGU